AACGAACGCUGGCGGCAUGCCUAACACAUGCAAGUCGAACGAGACCUUCGGGUCUAGUGGCGCACGGGUGCGUAACGCGUGGGAAUCUGCCCUUGGGUUCGGAAUAACUUCGGGAAACUGAAGCUAAUACCGGAUGAUGACGUAAGUCCAAAGAUUUAUCGCCCAAGGAUGAGCCCGCGUAGGAUUAGCUAGUUGGUGAGGUAAAGGCUCACCAAGGCGACGAUCCUUAGCUGGUCUGAGAGGAUGAUCAGCCACACUGGGACUGAGACACGGCCCAGACUCCUACGGGAGGCAGCAGUGGGGAAUAUUGGACAAUGGGCGAAAGCCUGAUCCAGCAAUGCCGCGUGAGUGAUGAAGGCCUUAGGGUUGUAAAGCUCUUUUACCCGGGAUGAUGAAUGACAGUACCGGGAGAAUAAGUCCCGUCAUC
rnacentral:rRNA from 1 species